UACAGAGGUCUCAAGCGUUGUUCGGAUUCAUUGGGCGUAAAGGGUGCGUAGGUGGUGUCGUAAGUCAGGUGUGAAAUCUCGGGGCUCAACCCCGAAACUGCACUUGAUACUGCGGUGCUCGAGGACUGGAGAGGAGAUUGGAAUUCAUGGUGUAGCAGUGAAAUGCGUAGAUAUCAUGAGGAAGACCAGUGGCGAAGGCGGAUCUCUGGACAGUUCCUGACACUGAGGCACGAAGGCCAGGGGAGCAAACGGG
rnacentral:rRNA from 1 species